AUUGAACGCUGGCGGCAGGCUUAACACAUGCAAGUCGAGCGGGGAAGAGUAGCUUGCUACUUUACCUAGCGGCGGACGGGUGAGUAAUGCUUAGGAAUCUGCCUAUUAGUGGGGGACAACAUCUCGAAAGGGAUGCUAAUACCGCAUACGUCCUACGGGAGAAAGCAGGGGACCUUCGGGCCUUGCGCUAAUAGAUGAGCCUAAGUCGGAUUAGCUAGUUGGUGGGGUAAAGGCCUACCAAGGCGACGAUCUGUAGCGGGUCUGAGAGGAUGAUCCGCCACACUGGGACUGAGACACGGCCCAGACUCCUACGGGAGGCAGCAGUGGGGAAUAUUGGACGAUGGGGGGAACCCUGAUCCAGACAUGCCGCGUGUGUGAAGAAGGCCUUUUGGUUGUAAAGCACUUUAAGCGAGGAGGAGGCUACCGAGAUUAAUACUCUUGGAUAGUGGACGUUACUCGCAGAAUAAGCACCGGCUAACUCUGUGCCAGCAGCCGCCGUAAUAC
rnacentral:rRNA from 1 species